CGCGGCCUAUCAGCUUGUUGGUGGGGUAAUGGCCUACCAAGGCGUCGACGGGUAGCCGGCCUGAGAGGGUGGACGGCCACAUUGGGACUGAGAUACGGCCCAGACUCCUACGGGAGGCAGCAGUGGGGAAUAUUGCACAAUGGGCGCGAGCCUGAUGCAGCGACGCCGCGUGGGGGAUGACGGCCUUCGGGUUGUAAACUCCUUUCAGCCAUGACGAAGCCCUUUUGGGGUGACGGUAGUGGUAGAAGAAGCACCGGCUAACUACGUGCCAGCAGCCGCGGUAAUACGUAGGGUGCGAGCGUUGUCCGGAAUUACUGGGCGUAAAGAGCUCGUAGGUGGUCUGUCGCGUCAUUUGUGAAAGCCCGGGGCUUAACUCCGGGUUGGCAGGUGAUACGGGCAUGACUGGAGUACUGUAGGGGAGACUGGAAUUCCUGGUGUAGCGGUGAAAUGCGCAGAUAUCAGGAGGAACACCGGUGGCGAAGGCGGGUCUCUGGGCAGUAACUGACGCUGAGGAGCGAAAGCAUGGGUAGCGAACAGGAUUAGAUACCCUGGUAGUCCAUGCCGUAAACGGUGGGCGCUAGGUGUGGGUUUCCUUCCACGGGAUCCGUGCCGUAGCUAACGCAUUAAGCGCCCCGCCUGGGGAGUACGG
rnacentral:rRNA from 1 species